UUAACGUGGGAGAGCUAUAUAAAAUGAGUUAACGCUCAGUGUGACGAUUCUCGAAUUUUCGUAGCUCAUAAUAUUCGUAACUUGACAGUUGCGUUGCGUGUAUAAAAUCCCAUAAGACCUGUCAAAUUACGGAUUCCUAAAGUUACAAACGCUACUAGAAUCUAC